rnacentral:misc_RNA from 1 species
AACGCACAUUGCGCCCCCUGGUAUUCCGGGGGGCAUGCCUGUCCGAGCGUCAUUGCAACCCUCAAGCGCGGCUUGCGUGUUGGGCGCCGUCCCCCGUGGACGCGCCCGAAAGGCAGUGGCGGUACCGUGCUCCGGUGCCCGAGCGUAUGGGCUUAAAACCCGCUCUUGUGGCCCGGCCGGCGCUGGCCUCGACCCCCAACUUUACAAGGUUGACCUCGGAUCAGGUAGGGAUACCCGCUGAACUUAA